rnacentral:rRNA from 1 species
AUUGAACGCUGGCGGCAUGCCUUACACAUGCAAGUCGAACGGUAACAGGUCUUCGGAUGCUGACGAGUGGCGAACGGGUGAGUAAUACAUCGGAACGUGCCCGAGAGUGGGGGAUAACGAAGCGAAAGCUUUGCUAAUACCGCAUACGAUCUCAGGAUGAAAGCAGGGGACCGCAAGGCCUUGCGCUCACGGAGCGGCCGAUGGCAGAUUAGGUAGUUGGGGGGAUAAAAGCUUACCAAGCCGACGAUCUGUAGCUGGUCUGAGAGGACGACCAGCCACACUGGGACUGAGAUGCUGCCAAGACUCCGACGGGAGGCAGCUGUGGGGAAUUUUGGACAAUGGGCGCAAGCCUGAUCCAGCAAUGCCGCGUGCAGGAUGAAGGCCUUCGGGUUGUAAACUGCUUUUGUACGGAACGAAAAGCCCUGGGUUAAUACCCUGGGGUCAUGACGGUACCGUAAGAAUAAGCACCGGCUAACUACGUGCCAGCCGCCGCAGUAACAC